UUGAAAAUGGCUUCUUCUUCUUCAUCUUCAUCUUUUCCAUAUCUUGUUCUGGCAUGCCUGAACUUCACUCUCUUCAUCCUCUCCGCAGCUUCAUUAGCACCAACACUCAUCCUCAAAUCAUCACCAACUUCAAUGGGUUGGGCACUUGUCAUGGUUUCUUCAAUCUCUCUCCUCUCAUCUUUCAUAGGCUUCUUCUCUCACUUUUGCUUCAUGACUCAUGUCACCCUCCUCAUAGCUUCCAUGGCUGCU
rnacentral:lncRNA from 1 species